rnacentral:rRNA from 1 species
AUUGAACGCUGGCGGCAGGCCUAACACAUGCAAGUCGAACGAGUGGCGGACGGGUGAGUAAUGUCUGGGAAACUGCCCGAUGGAGGGGGAUAACUACUGGAAAAGGUAGCUAAUACCGCAUACCAUCGGAUGUGCCCAGAUGGGAUUAGCUAGUAGGUGGGGUAAAGGCGCACCUAGGAGACGAUCCCUAGCUGGUCUGAGAGGCUGACCAGGCAGAAUGGAACUGAGACACGGUCCAGCCUCCUACGGGAGGCAGCAGUGGGGAAUAUUGCACAAUGGGCGCAAGCCUGAUGCAGCCAUGCCGAGUGUAUGAAGAAGGCCUUCGGGUUGUAAAGUACUUUCAGCGAGGAGGCGUUACCCGCAGAAGAAGCACCGGCUAACUCCGUGCCAGCAGCCGCGGUAAUUC